UGGGGAAUUUUGGACAAUGGGCGAAAGCCUGAUCCAGCAAUGCCGCGUGUGUGAAGAAGGCCUUCGGGUUGUAAAGCACUUUUGUCCGGAAAGAAAUCCUUGGCUCUAAUACAGUCGGGGGAUGACGGUACCGGAAGAAUAAGCACCGGCUAACUACGUGCCAGCAGCCGCGGUAAUACGUAGGGUGCAAGCGUUAAUCGGAAUUACUGGGCGUAAAGCGUGCGCAGGCGGUUUGCUAAGACCGAUGUGAAAUCCCCGGGCUCAACCUGGGAACUGCAUUGGUGACUGGCAGGUUAGAGUAUGGCAGAAGGGGGUAGAAUUCCACGUGUAGCAGUGAAAUGCGUAGAGAUGUGGAGGAAUACCGAUGGCGAAGGCAGCCCCCUGGGCCAAUACUGACGCUCAUGCACGAAAGCGUGGGGGAGCAAACAGGAUUAGAUACCCUGGUAGUCCACGCCCUAAACGAUGUCAACUAGUUGUUGGGGAUUCAUUUCCUAGUAACGUAGCUAACGCGUGAAGUUGACCGCCUGGGGAGUACGGUCGCAAGAUUAAAACUUAAAUGAAUUGACGGGGUC
rnacentral:rRNA from 1 species